rnacentral:rRNA from 1 species
ACGGAAGGCAGCAGUGGGGAAUAUUGGGCAAUGGGCGAAAGCCUGACCCAGCAACGCCGCGUGAAGGAAGAAGGUCUUCGGAUUGUAAACUUCUUUUAUAAGGGACGAAGAAAGUGACGGUACCUUAUGAAUAAGCCACGGCUAACUACGUGCCGGCAGCCGCGGUAAUACGUAGGUGGCAAGCGUUAUCCGGAUUUACUGGGUGUAAAGGGCGCGUAGGCGGGGAUGCAAGUCAGAUGUGAAAUCUAUGGGCUUAACUCAUAAACUGCAUUUGAAACUGUAUCUCUUGAGUGUCGGAGAGGUAGAUGGAAUUCCUUGUGUAGCGGUGAAAUGCGUAGAUAUAAGGAAGAACACCAGUGGCGAAGGCGAUCUACUGGACGACAACUGACGCUGAGGCGCGAAAGCGUGGGGAGCAAACAGGAUUAGAUACCCUGGUA